rnacentral:rRNA from 1 species
CCAAAAGCGGAGGAAAAGAAACCAACAGGGAUUGCCUCAGUAGCGGCGAGUGAAGCGGCAAAAGCUCAAAUUUGAAAUCUGGCGUCUUUGGCGUCCGAGUUGUAAUUUGAAGAAGGUAUCUUUGGGCCCGGCUCUUGUCUAUGUUCCUUGGAACAGGACGUCACAGAGGGUGAGAAUCCCGUGCGAUGAGAUGACCCGGGUCUGUGUAAAGUUCCUUCGACGAGUCGAGUUGUUUGGGAAUGCAGCUCUAAGUGGGUGGUAAAUUCCAUCUAAAGCUAAAUAUUGGCGAGAGACCGAUAGCGAACAAGUACAGUGAUGGAAAGAUGAAAAGAACUUUGAAAAGAGAGUGAAAAAGUACGUGAAAUUGUUGAAAGGGAAGGGCUUGAGAUCAGACUUGGUAUUUUGCAUGUUGCUCUCUCGGGGGCGGCCGCUGCGGUUUACCGGGCCAGCAUCGGUUUGGAGCGGCAGGAUAAUGGCGGAGGAAUGUGGCACGGCUUCUGCUGUGUG